GGUGCUGAUUUCCAGCUUGCUUCUGUUUAUGCCUGGUGGUACUGUGGUGCUCCAGCCCUGCAGGCUGACUUCCUUGCUUGGCUUAGGACCUGACCCAUCACCAUGAGCUUGCUUGAUCUGGUCUGCCUUGCUCAGUUACUGCAGGAGGGGGCCUGGCUGGUGAGCCCCCUGCCCUGCUGGCUCUGUUGCUGUGCCUGUUUCCCUGCCCAUUAGGGAGCAACCAGUCCUUGCUGCUUCCUGAUGUUAGCAAAAGUGCUAAGGGGACCCUGAGACAAUCUUUAGUGUUAAGAGCUAAGUUCUUAUAAAGUAGAGAUCCCCCUACCAUAUCUGGGUGCUAAGCCUGUUGCAUGCAAUUUGGGUUCUUGUACUCAGUGGGGUAUGUGUCUUCUGACACAUCCUUGGUCUAUCCCAGUGUUUGGCCAACCACCUGCUGCAGCAGGGAGAGGCAGCUGAGGCUGGCAAAGCUAAUCUUAUAACUGGGCAGCAUCCUUUGCACUGGCAGCUAACCUGCCAUAUCAAACUUGGCACAUGCAGUGAGGGAGAACUGACCUGAAGCCUUCUGCUUGGCCUCUGUGUGUUCAUAUUUCUCACUGGGGCAGCAAGGGGCACAGACAGCUGACAGAAGGGAUGCAGGUGUGGCAACAGCCUUGGCAGGCUGGUUUUCCCAAAAGGCCAGGAGCAAGCCUCUGCUCUUAGGUGCAUGAUUUCCAGUGGGAUCAACAGUGAAACCUGAAGGCUAUGUCUACGUUGGGAUAACUGCGGGUCAGAUUCCCUUAGUUCACACCACAGCAGAGACCUGAGGACUCUCGGAAAAAAAAAUGCUUGCUUCUGAAAAGCAGCUCAGGAAGUCAGAUAAUAAGCAUGUAGACUUGUCACAGUCCUCCGGAGCCUGGACAAAGCAGUUACCGUGUCUGCAAGAACUCGAGCCCUGUUCUCAGCCUUCAGGGCAGGGUGUCAGUCCUUGGACACCACAUGGUUUUGUACAACAUGGCACCUACGUCACACUGCACGUCCUCCCCAAGUUCCAGCCAGAAACCCCACAGAAGAGCUGUGGGCGUCUUUGAGGUCCCCCAGGAGCAGCCAGGCAGGUGAGGUGGUGCUGCCACCGAGGGCAGUGUGCAGUGCCCACAUGAGCUGGCCUCUGUCCCUCGGGGCAGGGACCUUCCUAUCUGUGGCCACUCCAUCCUCCAGGGCAGUGCUGCUGCUUUCUUUGUGUGUUGACCCAGCAGUGGGACAGAGGAUUUGGAAGCAGCACGGAAAAGAUCCCAUGGGGGAGGCACCUGGGGCAACCAAAACUUCAAAGCACAAAGGUCUUACACAGCAACCUCUUUCCCCCCUGCCUUCCCCUUGCAGAGCCUGGAGACCUGGGAUUGUGCAUGCUGUUUUCCCACAGUCUUUGCACACACAUAAAAUGCUGUGGUGCUUGUUAGUGCCUCAUAGGCACUAUAAGAAAAAGGGAACAAAAGAUUUCAAUUCUAUGAGACACAGUAGAACAAUUAAAUCUCAUGCUGCCAAGGCAAUGUAUAAAUAAAUACAGGCUGUCACCUGUAUUUCACAUUUACUUACAAAUGAAAUGAUUAAGUACAGCGUAUCAGCUAAGGUUUGUUAACUUAUUUUAUUAUAGAUAACUACAAUACGAAUGCAAAUCAAUAUAACUGGCUACUGAGGAGAUAUAAGAGCUGCAUUAUUUCUAUCAGCUUGUGAGAAAAGUUAGCCUUCGUUUUAAUUUUAGAUAUGGGGCUGGAAACAUCACAGAAUUUAAAUUGAAUAAUAUAUGAGUAAUUUCAAUCACUAACUUUAUCUAAAUAUGAGGAACAGUUUAAAUGCCUUUCCAGAGAAUGUCCCACCCGUUCUUUUGAGGAAAAUAGGGUUUCAACAAUAGCAAUACUUUAAUGAAAGCCCUUAUUGAGAAUUGAAAUUAAUUACUCAAUUGCAUAAAAGGACUUGUGAUGAAAUUAAUAGAGUAGAAAAUUUGUAAUGUUAAUUCAAAUCUAAAUUGACUAUGGAAGAAAACUUCAAAGGAACUACUCCAAUGGGAGCCUUUUGCUGGCUGCAGUAGGCAUGGGUAGGGCCUGGUGUUACAGAAGAGCUGUAAGAAAUGUCUGGUGGAAAAAAACAUUUUGCUACUAAAAUCACCCAGGAUGAGAAGAUGAUGAAGAUGAUUGACUGGCGGUCUGUGUGCCAGGUAUGGGAUUAGCAAGCAGGCAGAGCUCCUGCCAGUUACAUGUUAAUAAUGUCACGGUAGGGUCAGAUUAACUGGGGGCAUGCCCAGUGCUAAGCUGCUGUGGGGUCACCUUGGCCUGACCCCGGGCUUCCCCUGCAGGCACAGCUUGCUGCACACCACAGUGAGUCUCAUGUGCCCUUGGCGUAAAGUGUCGAUGAAAUAUAGCCCAGGAUCAGCCUCUGCUGUUUCAGGUGCAGUCUGUCUCUCUCAAUAUGGAGUUUUUAAGGCCCUUCUGGCACUCUGUCAUCUAUGCUAGAGGCUUACAUACCCUAGUAUCCCUCUGCAGGUGAGGCCCGUAACAGUGUCAGGUUAUUGAUGCAAUUUAUCUGUUGUCACUUGAGGCAAAAAUCACUACAUUGAGGUGCUUGCAACUGGUGUAGCUGGAAAUGACUCAUCCAGAAAUCUUUAAAACCUGACAUCCCAUCAGCACCCCCAGAAAAUACAUUGGGAAACUUCAACAGCUCUGCAGUAUUCUGUUUGGAAGGCAGUCCAUAAAAAUGCCCUGUGUUGGUUCCUGCUGUAUGAGAGCCAUACGGUCAUUUAAAACUGCAGUAAAAAGACUGCCCAGGUGCAAAGGGAAGGGGGUUGGAUGCAAUGGGAAGUCUUAAUCUCAUUUCCAGGUACUGCCAUGAAUCAGCUUUUAUAUGAGCUGGGCACAAAGCAGCAUGGGGCUAGGUAGAUGCAUGUAACAGGACUCAGUGGCAUGAAGUCCUUUAAGUCAACUUUUUUUUUUUUUUAACUCACAAUUAGAAAUGGCUAUUCUGUUCAUUUAGAAUUUCUGGGCUGGUACUUGCAUGAUCUACUUCAGGCUAUUGUGCAGCUUGAGAGACUUGUAAGAGGAAGAAAAGGGCUAUUUUGAGUAGGAAAAGCUCCUAAUCUGUAAUUACAGCACCACCACUUAGCUCUGGCAAUUUAGCUACAAAUGUCAGUGAAGGAACUGGGGAGCAGCAGCACAGCGCACUCCUUCAGUGGGCUGUGGUGGUCGCACCCUGCUGGCAGCUCAGCUCCACCACAAGCAUGUUCUCACUCCCUCUCCUCAAAGGGACAGUGGGGAAAGCAAGCAAGCUGGGAAAGAAAAAGGCUCCCUGAUUGUGGUAAAGGGAACUUCACUGAAGGGAAAAGGGGUGUGAGGGGUGGGAGCAAAGGUUCCCACUCACAUGGGGUGGGAGAUACCCCUUUGGUCGGUUUAGGUCAGCUGCCCUGGGGACUUAUUGUACAGGCUGAAUUUGGGUUUUGGAUAUUCACAAGCAACUUCCAGGAGGUGUCAUAUAUUUGGGCAGAAUAAACCUGGAAAUGUAUCUACCACCCUGCAUGUAUCAGGCUAUUAAUGAACUAAUGCACAGUGCAGUGAAGGAGGAGGCCAGCAGCAGCAUCAGGUGCUUUGUAGCCCAGGCUGAAACCAAAUAGGCUGUCACAGACUGAAGGAAAAAACAUUUUUUCUUCCAGCAAGGUCCUGUAACUUUUCUCCCUCAUAUUAAACAGAAGGACAUUUCUGUAGAGCCUACAAGUUCAACUUGUGUAUUGAUUAUGCGGAAAGCAUUUUGUUUAUUGCUGCAGAAUUUGCUGGAUGCCCUCACAGGUGAGGGAAUUUUCCACUUCUAGAUCCAUUUCAGUCUCAUGAGCACAUUAAAAUGUAUUUUCGACAACUACCUAUGGUGCUCAGAGGCCAGGAAAAUUCCUUUUAGAUCCCUCAGGGUCCGACUCCCUCGUUCUGGUUCUGCUGUGUCAUCCUGCAGCGCAUCCUGCUGUUGUAUCGCUGCUGACAAAUCAAUUCCCUGGGCCAUCAGUUAACCCCCGUGGGCCUGCUACCUAGCUCUGCAGCAGGCAGGGGACUUUCUCCCCUCUCAGGAAGGUACAAGAGGAGUCUUCUCCCAGGGAGAAGUCAUAACGAUGGCAAGCAACACGCAGGCAGUGCUGCAGACCUGGAUGGGACUUUGCACGUGGGAUUUAUCUUUCCACUAGCACGUAUGUAAAUGCUGUUGUUUGAUGAGAGUGAAAAAUGCAUCCCUUCUGAAAUGGGAGUGAUGUGGGGCUGGCUGCUGCAUGGCCCCCUUUGGCAGCCUGUAACCCCGCCGCCACUUGACUGAUGUGGACCAGGGCUACUCUGAUGGGUGCUGCUGAUGCUUUCAAUGCCACUGCAAGAGAGAAACAGAGAAGACAACAGAAAGUCAUGUGUUACAUGUCUGGUACAGCUGGGGAUAUCUCAGUAGGGUUUCAAGGAGCCUAAAAGGCCCUUGAGAUUUUCAUUGUGUUUUAUAAAUUCAUUUGCAGGGACUGACAUUAAGAGCGUGCUCUCAGGGCGCUGGUGAUGUUUCUCUGCUCACUGGAAGUGCCUGCAUGCCUCUCUUCGUGCUGUUGUUCCACUCUUCAGGUGGCACAGGAGCUUGAGUGCUGCUUUUGCCAUCCAGCAUCACUGUGUGUAUGAGUGCCACGGCCAGGAUCACAGCUUCCUACUCCCUUUGCACUUCUCCCCUGCUGCUAAUAACCCCUCGGGAACGUGCCAAAACAAAAAAGGGGACAACCUCCAGUCCCUUUACUUAGAAACGGAGGUUGCAAAUCCACCAGCUUUACUCCAAAUCUGUGCCAGGGUAGGGGCAGAUCCUGGCCUUGGUGAAUGUCUUGGUGAAUUCCUGGUGCAUAUUUUCCAUUUGUCAUCUUUAGACCUACACUUCCCUGCCUCUUGGGGGUGGGAGAACACUUCUGAGCUCAGGCUUUCUGCAAGGAAAGGGUCUGCUCAUCAGAGGCAUGUUUACACGGGGGAGAACUAGCUUUGAUACUAAUUGAGAAGUUGGCCUUGUAUACUGCGGCUGUUUUCACAUGCAUAAGCAAAUACUGCUGUAAACAAUAGUUUAGAUCCUAGGCAAACAUUCAGUGCUGAGGCCUAGAAAUAAAAGUUUGUGCUCCAUUUCUGCUUUAAUGUGCAGCUAUGUUAACUGAAAAGCAUACAAAAAUAGCAAUAAAAACCUCUCGUGCUGGAGUUAACACUGUGGGCCCAUCCAAACCAA